AGAGUUUGAUCAUGGCUCAGGACGAACGCUGGCGGCGUGCCUAACACAUGCAAGUCGAGCGAGAGGAGUUCUUCGGAACAAAUCUAGCGGCGGACGGGUGAGUAACACGUGGGCAACCUACCUUAUAGAGGGGAAUAGCCUUCCGAAAGGAAGAUUAAUACCGCAUAACAUUGCAUUUUCGCAUGAAGAAGCAAUUAAAGGAGCAAUCCGCUAUAAGAUGGGCCCGCGGCGCAUUAGCUAGUUGGUGAGGUAACGGCUCACCAAGGCGACGAUGCGUAGCCGACCUGAGAGGGUGAUCGGCCACAUUGGGACUGAGACACGGCCCAGACUCCUACGGGAGGCAGCAGUGGGGAAUAUUGCACAAUGGGGGAAACCCUGAUGCAGCAACGCCGCGUGAGUGAUGAAGGUUUUCGGAUCGUAAAACUCUGUCUUUGGGGACGAUAAUGACGGUACCCAAGGAGGAAGCCACGGCUAACUACGUGCCAGCAGCCGCGGUAAUACGUAGGUGGCAAGCGUUGUCCGGAUUUACUGGGCGUAAAGGGAGCGUAGGUGGAUUUUUAAGUGAGAUGUGAAAUACUCGGGCUCAACCCGAGAACUGCAUUUCAAACUGGAAGUCUAGAGUGCAGGAGAGGAAAGUGGAAUUCCUAGUGUAGCGGUGAAAUGCGUAGAUAUUAGGAAGAACACCAGUGGCGAAGGCGACUUUCUGGACUGUAACUGACACUGAGGCUCGAAAGCGUGGGGAGCAAACAGGAUUAGAUACCCGGUAGUCCACGCCGUAAACGAUGAAUACUAGGUGUGGGAGUUGUCAUGACUUCCGUGCCGCCGCUAACGCAUUAAGUAUUCCGCCUGGGGAGUACGGUCGCAAGAUUAAAACUCAAAGGAAUUGACGG
rnacentral:rRNA from 1 species